UGCAAGUCGAGGGGUAAGGUAGCAAUAUCUGAGACCGGCGCACGGGUGCGCAAUGCGUAUGCAAUCUACCUUUUGCAGAGGGAUAGCCCAGAGAAAUUUGGAUUAAUACCUCAUAGUAUAGUACCUUCGCAUGGAGGAACUAUUAAAGUCACAACGGCAAAAGAUGAGCAUGCGUCCCAUUAGUUAGUUGGUAAGGUAACGGCUUACCAAGACAGCGAUGGGUAGGGGUCCUGAGAGGGAGAUCCCCCACACUGGUACUGAGACACGGACCAGACUCCUACGGGAGGCAGCAGUGAGGAAUAUUGGACAAUGGGCGCAAGCCUGAUCCAGCCAUGCCGCGUGCAGGAUGACGGUCCUAUGGAUUGUAAACUGCUUUUGCACAGGAAGAAACACCCCGACGUGUCGGGGCUUGACGGUACUGUGAGAAUAAGGAUCGGCUAACUCCGUGCCAGCAGCCGCGGUAAUACGGAGGAUCCAAGCGUUAUCCGGAAUCAUUGGGUUUAAAGGGUCCGUAGGCGGUUUAGUAAGUCAGUGGUGAAAGCCCAUCGCUCAACGGUGGAACGGCCAUUGAUACUGCUAGACUUGAAUUAUAAGGAAGUAACUAGAAUAUGUAGUGUAGCGGUGAAAUGCUUAGAGAUUACAUGGAAUACCAAUUGCGAAGGCAGGUUACUACUUAUGGAUUGACGCUGAUGGACGAAAGCGUGGGUAGCGAACAGGAUUAGAUACCCUGGUAGUCCACGCCGUAAACGAUGGAUACUAGCUGUUGGGCGCAAGUUCAGUGGCUAAGCGAAAGUGAUAAGUAUCCCACCUGGGGAGUACGUUCGCAAGAAUGAAACUCAAAGGAAUUGACGGGGGCCCGCACAAGCGGUGGAGCAUGUGGUUUAAUUCGAUGAUACGCGAG
rnacentral:rRNA from 1 species